UAAAAAAUCGUAACAAGGUCUCCGUAGGUGAACCUGCGGAGGGAUCAUUUACUGAGUUUUUAACUCUCCAAACCAUGUGAACUUACCACUGUUGCCUCGGUGGUCGGUGCUGGAAACAGUGCUGCCACCGGUGGACUACUAAACUCUUGUUAAUUUUUGUCAAAUCUGAAUCAAACUAAGAAAUAAGUUAAAACUUUCAACAACGGAUCUCUUGGUUCUGGCAUCGAUGAAGAACGCAGCGAAAUGCGAUAAGUAAUGUGAAUUGCAGAAUUCAGUGAAUCAUCGAAUCUUUGAACGCACAUUGCGCCCAUUAGUAUUCUAGUGGGCAUGCCUGUUCGAGCGUCAUUUCAACCCUUAAGCCUAGCUUAGUGUUGGGAGACUGCCUAAUACGCAGCUCCUCAAAACCAGUGGCGGAGUCUGUUCGUGCUCUGAGCGUAGUAAUUUUUUAUCUCGCUUCUGCAAGCCGGCCAGACGACAGCCAUAAACCGCACCCUCUCGGGGGGCACUUUUUUAAUGGUUGACCUCGGAUCAGGUAGGAAUACCCGCUGAACUUAAGCAUAUCAAAA
rnacentral:rRNA from 1 species